rnacentral:tRNA from 1 species
GGCGCUGUGGCUUAGUUGGUUAAAGCACCUGAUCCUGAGUUCGAAUCUCAGCAGUGCCU